rnacentral:lncRNA from 1 species
GGAUGACUCUAAUCCUUUCUUUUUGUGGUAUUUUAUUACACAGGUGUAUCAUGAAACUUGGAUGUAUGGACUACCAUGGGCUAGCAGUGAAUAUGUACAUAACCUCAAGAAGUUUCUUAAAGUUGUUGAGGAUCGUCGGGUGCAUAGAGGAGAAUGUUACAUUUGGUGUCCUUGUAAAAUGUACCAAAAUUGUAAAAAGGUCUAUGAUUUGGAUGUAAUAGAAGAAUAUAUGAUAUUUGAAGGAUUUAUGAAUCGAUAUACGUGUUGAUCACAACAUGGCGAGUUAUUGAUUGAUCACAACACAAUUGAUGUCGAAUCUAAUUAUGAUGAUACAGAUGAUUCAGAGGAUGACAUCCAUGAUAACCUACCUCCAUUUUCUAUCGGUAUUCCAUCUAUGAAUGUUGAUAUUAAUGACGCUGCUUACUUAAGAUCGGACCAUAACGAAGGAUCAUAUGUUGAAGAAAGGUAAUAAACCCUUUGUUUGAUCUAAAAAUAAAAAAUAUAAUUUAAUGUAAAUUUGAAACAUAUGAAGAUAGUAUUAUGUAUGUAUUUAAUACAUUUUUGUUUGCAGCAACACAGACGACACGACACUGGAGGACAAUAACAGUGAUAAUUGCAGUUGAGGUUCUUCAUGGGGAGAUUUACUAUGAUUGCAUUAUGAAAAACUUGUGUAGUAUCAACAUGAUGCGAGGAUAAAAACUAUGUUGAGUUUUUGAUGUUUAUGUCACAUGUAAUAUGUUCUAUAUUAUACAAAGUCAUGUUUUAGUGAUGAACAUUAAUCUUUGUUCAUCACUAAAUGCUCAAUUGCUCAUCACCUUCAUUUCCCCUUCUUCCUUUUAUGAAUUCAAAG